UCCUACGGGAGGCAGCAGUCGGGAAUAUUGGGCAAUGGACGAAAGUCUGACCCAGCGAUACCACGUGAGUGAUGAAGGCCUUCGGGUUGUAAAGCUCUUUUAGCAGGGAAGAUAAUGACGGUACCUGCAGAAAAAGCACCGGCUAACUUCGUGCCAGCAGCCGCGGUAAUACGAAGGGUGCUAGCGUUACUCGGAAUUACUGGGCGUAAAGCGUACGUAGGCGGUUUUAUAAGUUGAGUAUUAAAUUCCAAGGCUUAACCUUGGGUUGUUCUCAAAACUGUAUGACUAGAGUUAUGUAGGGGAUAGUGGAAUUCCUAGUGUAGAGGUGGAAUUCGUAGAUAUUAGGAGGAACACCAGUUGGCGAAGGCGACUAUCUGGACAUUAACUGACGCUAAGGUACGAAAGUGUGGGUAGCAAACAGGAUUAGAUACCCUGGUAGUCC
rnacentral:rRNA from 1 species